UACGGAAGGCAGCAGUGGGGAAUAUUGCACAAUGGGCGAAAGCCUGAUGCAGCUAUGCCGCGUGUAUGAAGAAGGCCUUAGGGUUGUAAAGUACUUUCAUCGGGGAGGAAAAAACAAAACUAAUAAUUUUAUUUCUUGACGUUACCCGAAAAAGAAGCACCGGCUAACUCCGUGCCAGCAGCCGCGGUAAUACGGAGGGUGCUAGCGUUAAUCAGAAUUACUGGGCGUAAAGAGCACGUAGGUGGUUUUUUUAAGUCAGAUGUGAAAUCCCUGGGCUUAACCUGGAACUGCAUUUUGAAACUGAAAUACUAGAGUAUCGUAGAAGGAGGUAGAAUUCUAGGUGUAGCGGUGAAAUGCGUAGAUAUCUGGAGGAAUACCUGUGGCGAAAGCGGCCUCCUAAACGAAUACUGACACUGAGGUGCGAAAGCGUGGGGAGCAAACAGGGAUUAGAUACC
rnacentral:rRNA from 1 species